GUUGACAGAUGUUUACUCUGCAACCAGAAGGCCACAGACACUGAAGACAUGAGGAACACAAGCUGUGCUGACUGAUCACAGAGCCACAUUAGCAUUUAUGCAUCAUCAUCAUAGCAUUAUCCACAUGUAUUACAUAUUUUAUAAUAAAAAGUGUCUUCCGUCGUGUGGAAAUUUUAACUAAAUAAGAGAAGACUUCACCAGAAGGAUGCCUCCAUAUGAAAAAUGUCACAUCCGAGUUGAUGUGAUUUACUCAAAUAUUCUUCCAACUUAACUUGUUCUUUAGAAAAAUACUGUUUUUUUCCUUCAAACUAGCGACUGUGCAACUGACACUAUCUGGGAGAGAUUUGGAAUCUCAAAUCCUUCUCAUCAGACAUGAGAGUUUAAAGUGGAGGAGAAAGUCACCGUGUGUUUCUCCUGCUGAGGUGUCCUUCAGGUGACCCUGGACCUUCUCCUGGCUGCUGGCUGAUUCCUGCUCCAACGGAUUUGUUUUGUAUUCUUUCAGAAAGCUGAUGUGAGCUUCAAUGAAAGUCAUGACUUUAUCCAUUUGGGUCUUCACGUCCAUCAGGAGGCAGAGGUAAUCAACCAAGACCCCAUUGUUAGUUAGAGCAGCUGGAGGGGAAGAGCCAGGUUUUGUGUUAGAAUCUGAAUGACGGAAUAAAAGUACAGAUGUGCACCAUUUGCAUCUGGAUGGGGGACAAUUAUCGAGCAAAACCUUCAUCACCACAGACUGCAGACGAAGGUUAUGUUUAGUCUUCAACAAGCCAACAUGGAAAAGAUACUUUAAAAAGGAGAGAAGUAAGCAUCUUAAAGAAAGACUGACAGCUAACUGAGGAGAGUCGGUAAGAACCAGCAGCAACGCGUCCUAGAAACAGCCUCGAAAACGCCGCAUUAAUUGAUUGAUGCGCGUACGGACAAAUGUCAGCUUCAGUGCAAUGUCCAUGUUUUCUAUUUAGUUAGGUAAUAACAAAUGGGAAAGAAAAUGAUAAUGUUGAAUCUUUACUAAAGUUAUUCUAAUUUGGGUGACAAAUGGCACAAUGUGGGAAAAUGAUCCCAGAAAAGGGGGACGUUUGUUCCUUGUAUAAUAUUAACAAAGUCACAUAUAUUGCAUAUAUUGUUAUAGUCCAAAUAAACAAAAUGUCUGUCACAGGGGAAAGUGAAAGUAGGCCCCUGCAUACCUGUCAAAGACGCCUCUGGGAUGAACCCCCUCAGCUUCUUUAGGAUCUGACCAAUUGGCUGUGGAAACAGACAGAAUACGUUUUACAAACUAUCAGUAAUCUGUGUUCUAGUCCCUCUCUCAUCCCACUUGUUAGCUCACCUGGCUGUGGAUUAGGUCAUAAAUGGCCCUUCUGCGUUUAAUAUUCUUAAUUCCUGGAAGCAGGUCGCGCAGGUCGUCUUCAGUCAGGGCCUGAAUGUCUGAGUCACUUUGUAAACCAGCGUCUGCAACAACGACACAGAAUGACUAAAGAUGGAAACUCAACAUUUAAACGUGAGCUCAACAGUCAUCUUAUAAAAGUGAAACAACAAACUGUUUUUAUUAUCUAAUCCUCGUCAAUAAACAAAAGGUCACUAACUCAUCAACUCAUCAGCUGCUGGUUUGUCGAUGCGUUUUAUUUCCUUCAGUAAACCCGACAUGACUUCACCUGUAAAGCGGAAUAAAAGCAGCAUUUAUUAUUCUAUUAUUCUGGUAGGUCGUCUUUUCUCUCGUCCGUGUGACAUAUUGGUGAAAGAUCGGGAUACAAACCAGCUGUGUAGACGAGUCAAACCAAAGGAAGCGAUCGAUCACACGACGGAGGAUCGACUCGAUUAAUUGGUUGAUCUCCUUUAACCGUUAAGAGUUAGCUGUCAAUCAUCCAACCAAAGCAAAAAUCAGAAAUCUGUGCUGUAUUCCUACUCCAAGCUGGUCUUCACAGCAACCCCGAUUUACAGUAAAACGAAAGUGAAACUGCGAGUGACGGUUGUUUUUCUCACUUGUCGUUACAGUUUCAACAUGUUGCGUUUCCGCCAUCUGCUGGAUUCAAGCUGAACUCCUGUCACUGAAUCAGAGGAUCCACAGUGCAGCCAGCAGGGGGCAGCACGCGGCAGCUUCCAUAGGCGGCCUGCAGCAUCUCCACCUGCACACGUCACACA
ensembl:lncRNA